rnacentral:rRNA from 1 species
AUUGAACGCUGGCGGCAUGCCUUACACAUGCAAGUCGAACGGUAACAGGUCUUCGGAUGCUGACGAGUGGCGAACGGGUGAGUAAUACAUCGGAACGUGCCCGAUCGUGGGGGAUAACGAGGCGAAAGCUUUGCUAAUACCGCAUACGAUCUACGGAUGAAAGCGGGGGAUCUUCGGACCUCGCGCGGACGGAGCGGCCGAUGGCAGAUUAGGUAGUGGGUGGGAUAAAAGCUUACCAAGCCGACGAUCUGUAGCUGGUCUGAGAGGAUGAUCAGCCACACUGGGACUGAGACACGGCCCAGACUCCUACGGGAGGCAGCAGUGGGGAAUUUUGGACAAUGGGCGAAAGCCUGAUCCAGCCAUGCCGCGUGCAGGAUGAAGGCCUUCGGGUUGUAAACUGCUUUUGUACGGAACGAAAAGCCUCUUUCUAAUAAAGAGGGGUCAUGACGGUACCGUAAGAAUAAGCACCGGCUAACUACGUG